rnacentral:rRNA from 1 species
UACGUAGGGUGCAAGCGUUAAUCGGAAUUACUGGGCGUAAAGCGUGCGCAGGCGGUGAUGUAAGACAGGUGUGAAAUCCCCGGGCUUAACCUGGGAACUGCAUUUGUGACUGCAUCGCUGGAGUGCGGCAGAGGGGGAUGGAAUUCCGCGUGUAGCAGUGAAAUGCGUAGAGAUCGGGAGGAACACCUGUGGCGAAGGCGGCCCCCUGGGCCGCGCCUGACGCUGAGACGCGAAGGCUAGGGGAGCGAACGGG